AUGCCAGGUCCAGCCUCUGCUUUGAGCAGAGGAGGAGGGCGCCCGUGUCUCGCCGCCCGAGCACCGCUGCCUGCCCUCGUCCCCGACGCCGGCGAGCACACCGCCGCCCCGUUUCUGCCGCCAUCUGCCCGCUCCUUGCGGGAGAACGACGCCCCGCCCUGGAACCGCUCGUCUCUGCCGCUGCUGUUACCUCUGAACCCCGCCCCCGCUGUAGUGUUCGUUCUUCAGAGACGAGAGCAGAGUCGCUCGCUCGACUCGUUCGCGUUGACCGCGGCCCGAUCCAGAUCGACUCGUCCCACCGCGUCGAGCAAGGCCCAGCUGGCUCCCCUGUGA
rnacentral:rRNA from 1 species